rnacentral:rRNA from 1 species
CCUACGGGAGGCAGCAGUGGGGAAUAUUGCGCAAUGGGCGAAAGCCUGACGCAGCAACGCCGCGUGGGGGAUGAAGGUUUUCGGAUUGUAAACCCCUUUCGAUCGGAACGAAUCUCCUCCUGGUAAAUAAUCAGGAGGAUCGACGGUACCGAGAGAAGAAGCCACGGCUAACUCUGUGCCAGCAGCCGCGGUAAGACAGAGGUGGCGAGCGUUGUUCGGAUUUAUUGGGCGUAAAGCGAACGCAGGUGGUUUGGUAAGUCAGGGGUGAAAGUCCACAGCUUAACUGUGGCACUGCCUUUGAUACUGCCUUUCUUGAGUGCAUGAGGGGGAAGCGGAAUUCCGAGUGUAGAGGUGAAAUUCGUAGAUAUUCGGAGGAACACCGGUGGCGAAGGCGGCUUCCUGGCAUGUAACUGACACUCAUGUUCGAAAGCGUGGGUAGCAAACAGGAUUAGAUACCCUGGUAGUCCACGCCCUAAACGAUGGGCACUAGGUGUGGGAGGUAUCGACCCCUUCCGUGCCGCAGCUAACGCAUUAAGUGCCCCGCCUGGGGAGUACGGCCGCAAGGUUGAAACUCAAAGGAAUUGACGGGGGCCCGCACAAGCGGUGGAGCAUGUGGUUUAAUUCGACGCAACGCGAAGAACCUUACCAGCCCUUGACAUCCCGGUCGCGGGACCAGAGAUGGACCUCUUCAAUUGGUCGGUGACAGGUGCUGCAUGGCUGUCGUCAGCUCGUGUCGUGAGAUGUUGGGUUAAGUCCCGCAACGAGCGCAACCCUCACCCUCAGUUGCCACCGGGUAAUGCCGGGCACUCAGAGGGAACUGCCCCGGAUAACGGGGAGGAAGGUGGGGAUGACGUCAAGUCCUCAUGGCCUUUAUGCCUAGGGCUACACACGUGCAACAAUGGCCGGUACAAAGGGCUGCAAUCCCGCGAGGGGGAGCCAAUCCCAGAAAACCGGCCUCAGUUCGGAUCGGAGUCUGCAACUCGACUCCGUGAAGUCGGAAUCGCUAGUAAUCGCGGAUCAGAACGCCGCGGUGAAUACGUUCCCGGGCCUUGUACACACCGCCCGUCACAUCACGAAAGUGGGUUGUACUAGAAGUCGCCGUGCCAACCGUAAGGAGGCAGGCGCCCAAGGUAUGACUCAUGAUUGGGGUGAAGUCGUAACAAGGUAGCCGUAGGAGAACCUGCGGCUG